rnacentral:rRNA from 1 species
GUGUCAGCCGCCGCGGUAAUACGAAGGGGGCUAGCGUUGCUCGGAAUCACUGGGCGUAAAGGGUGCGUAGGCGGGUUUCUAAGUCAGAGGUGAAAGCCUGGAGCUCAACUCCAGAACUGCCUUUGAUACUGGAAGUCUUGAGUAUGGCAGAGGUGAGUGGAACUGCGAGUGUAGAGGUGAACUUCGUAGAUAUUCGCAAGAAGACCAGUGACGAAGGCGGCUCACUGGGCCAUUACUGACGCUGAGGCA